GGAAGGGUGGCUGAGUGGUCGAAGGCGCCGCUCUCGAAAAGCGGUAGAUCCGCAAGGGUCUCGAGGGUUCGAAUCCCUCCCCUUCCG
rnacentral:tRNA from 1 species